rnacentral:misc_RNA from 1 species
UACGGAGGGUGCGAGCGUUGUCCGGAAUUACUGGGCGUAAAGCGCACGUAGGCGGCCAGGUCAGUCUGUCUGUGAAAGCCCGGGGCUCAACCCCGUGGACUGCAGGGGAUACUGCCUGGCUGGAGACAAGCAGAGGUUGGUAGAAUUCCGGGUGUAGCGGUGGAAUGCGUAGAGAUCCGGAGGAAUACCAGAGGCGAAGGCGGCCAACUGGGCUUGUUCUGACGCUGAGGUGCGAAAGCGUGGGGAGCGAACAGG